UACGGGGGGUGCGAGCGUUGUCCGGAAUCACUGGGCGUAAAGGGCGCGUAGGCGGCUCUGUAAGUUUGCGGUGAAAGCCCGGGGCUCAACCCCGGGUCUGCCGUGGAUACUGCAAGGCUUGAGUACUGUAGAGGCAGGUAGAAUAUGGGGUGUAGCGGUGGAAUGCGUAGAGAUCCGAUAGAAGACCAGUGGCGAAGGCGGCCUGCUGGGCAGUAACUGACACUGAGGCGCGACAGCGAGGGGAGCAAACGGG
rnacentral:rRNA from 1 species